rnacentral:rRNA from 1 species
GACGAACGCUGGCGGCGUGCUUAACACAUGCAAGUCGAACGGAAAGGCCCUGCUUUUGUGGGGUGCUCGAGUGGCGAACGGGUGAGUAACACGUGAGUAACCUGCCCUUGACUUUGGGAUAACUUCAGGAAACUGGGGCUAAUACCGGAUAGGAGCUCCUGCUGCAUGGUGGGGGUUGGAAAGUUUCGGCGGUUGGGGAUGGACUCGCGGCUUAUCAGCUUGUUGGUGGGGUAGUGGCUUACCAAGGCUUUGACGGGUAGCCGGCCUGAGAGGGUGACCGGCGACAUUGGGCCUGGGAUACGGCCCAGACUCCUACGGGAGGCAGCAGUGGGGAAUGUUGCACAAUGGGCGGAAGCCUGAUGCAGCAACGCCGCGUGCGGGAUGACGGCCUUCGGGUUGUAAACCGCUUUCGCCUGUGACGAAGCGUGAGUGACGGUAAUGGGUAAAGAAGCACCGGCUAACUACGUG